UCCGAACCGACACUAUGCACA
rnacentral:misc_RNA from 1 species